AGUGUAGGCGGGAUCGUAAGUUAGGAGUUUAAUACAUGGGCUUAACCCAUGAGCUGCUUUUAAUACUGCGGUUCUUGAGUAUGGGAGAGGGCGAUGGAAUUCCAGGUGUAGCGGUGGAAUGCGUAGAUAUCUGGAAGAACACCAGUAGCGAAGGCGGUCGCCUGGCCCAAUACUGACGCUGAUGCUCGAAAGCUAGGGGAGCAAACAGGAUUAGAUACCCUGGUAGUCCUAGCCGUAAACGAUGGACACCAGUUGCUGGAGGAGUCAAUCCUUUCGGUGACGAAGCUAACGCAUUAAGUGUCCCGCCUGGGGAGUACGUUCGCAAGGAUGAA
rnacentral:rRNA from 1 species